rnacentral:rRNA from 1 species
GACGAACGCUGGCGGCGUGCUUAACACAUGCGAGUCGAACGGAAAGGCCCUGCUUUUGUGGGGUGCUCGAGUGGCGAACGGGUGAGUAACACGUGAGUAACCUGCCCUUGACUUUGGGAUAACUUCAGGAAACUGGGGCUAAUACCGGAUAGGAGCUCCUGCUGCAUGGUGGGGGUUGGAAAGUUUCGGCGGUUGGGGAUGGACUCGCGGCUUAUCAGCUUGUUGGUGGGGUAGUGGCUUACCAAGGCUUUGACGGGUAGCCGGCCUGGGAGGGUGACCGGCCACAUUGGGACUGAGAUACGGCCCAGACUCCUACGGGAGGCAGCAAUGGGGAAUAUUUCACAAUGGGCGGAAGCCUGAUGCAGCAACGCCGCCUGCGGGAUGACGGCCUUCGGGUUGUAAACCGCUUUCGCCUGUGACGAAGCGUGAGUGACGGUAAUGGGUAAAGAAGCACCGGCUAACUACGUG